UCCCUGGUGGGUCAGUGGUUAAGACUCAGCAUUUUCACUGCUGAGGGCCCAGGUUCAAUCUCUGGUUGGGGAA
rfam:Ovis aries breed Texel chromosome 13, whole genome shotgun sequence.